CCUACGCGCUGCAGCAGUGGGGAAUAUUGGACAAUGGGCGAAAGCCUGAUCCAGCCAUGCCGCGUGUGUGAAGAAGGCCUUCGGGUUGUAAAGCACUUUCAGUGGGGAAGAAAGCCUUGGGGCUAAUACCCUCGAGGAAGGACAUCACCCACAGAAGAAGCACCGGCUAACUCCGUGCCAGCAGCCGCGGUAAUACGGAGGGUGCGAGCGUUAAUCGGAAUUACUGGGCGUAAAGCGCGCGUAGGCGGUCUGAUAAGCCGGUUGUGAAAGCCCCGGGCUCAACCUGGGAACGGCAUCCGGAACUGUCAGGCUAGAGUGCAGGAGAGGAAGGUAGAAUUCCCGGUGUAGCGGUGAAAUGCGUAGAGAUCGGGAGGAAUACCAGUGGCGAAGGCGGCCUUCUGGACUGACACUGACGCUGAGGUGCGAAAGCGUGGGUAGCAAACAGGAUUAGAUACCCGAGUAGUC
rnacentral:rRNA from 1 species